UGCGUAACGCGUAUGCAACCUACCUUAAUCAGGGGGAUAGCCCGAAGAAAUUCGGAUUAACACCGCAUAAAAUCACAGUACAGCAUUGUACAAUGAUCAAAUAUUUAUAGGAUUAAGAUGGGCAUGCGUGUCAUUAGUUAGUUGGCGAGGUAACGGCUCACCAAGACCACGAUGACUAGGGGAUCUGAGAGGAUGACCCCCCACACUGGUACUGAGACACGGACCAGACUCCUACGGGAGGCAGCAGUAAGGAAUAUUGGUCAAUGGAGGCAACUCUGAACCAGCCAUGCCGCGUGCAGGAAGACAGCCCUCUGGGUCGUAAACUGCUUUUAUUCGGGAAUAAACCUACUUACGUGUAAGUAGCUGAAUGUACCGAAGGAAUAAGGAUCGGCUAACUCCGUGCCAGCAGCCGC
rnacentral:rRNA from 1 species